UAAUACGAAGGGGGCAAGCGUUGUUCGGAAUUACUGGGCGUAAAGGGCGCGUAGGCGGCUUAUCAAGUCAGGCGUGAAAUUCCCGGGCUCAACCUGGGGGCUGCGCUUGAUACUGAUGAGCUUGAAUGCGGGAGAGGAUAGUGGAAUUCCCAGUGUAGAGGUGAAAUUCGUAGAUAUUGGGAAGAACACCGGUGGCGAAGGCGGCUAUCUGGCCCGUAAUUGACGCUGAGGCGCGAAAGCGUGGGGAGCAAACAGGAUUAGAUACCCUGGUAGUCCACGCUGUAAACGAUGGGCACUAGGUGUCCGGGGUAUUGACCCCCUGGGUGCCGCAGCUAACGCAUUAAGUGCCCCGCCUGGGGAGUACGGUCGCAAGAUUA
rnacentral:rRNA from 1 species